CAGCCGCCACGGGAAUACGUAGGGGGCAAGCGUUAUCCGGAAUUACUGGGUGUAAAGGGAGCGUAGACGGUUAAACAAGUCUGAAGUGAAAUGCCGGGGCUUAACCCCGGAGCUGCUUUGGGAACUGUAGUACUGGAGUGUCGGAGGGGUAAGCGGAAUUCCCAGUGUAGCGGUGAAAUGCGUAGAUAUUGGGAGGAACACCGGCGGCGAAGGCGGCUUACUGGACGACAACUGACGUUGAGGCUCGAAGGCGUGGGUAGCAAACAGGAUUAGAUACCCCUGUAGUCCCUGUCUCUUAUAC
rnacentral:rRNA from 1 species